AACGAACGCUGGCGGCAUGCCUAACACAUGCAAGUCGAACGAGACCUUCGGGUCUAGUGGCGCACGGGUGCGUAACGCGUGGGAACCUGCCCUUAGGUUCGGAAUAACUCCCCGAAAGGGGUGAUAAUACCGGAUAAUGUCUUCGGACCAAAGAUUUAUCGCCUUUGGAUGGGCCCGCGUUGGAUUAGCUAGUUGGUAGGGUAAAAGCCUACCAAGGCGACGAUCCAUAGCUGGUCUGAGAGGAUGAUCAGCCACACUGGGACUGAGACACGGCCCAGACUCCUACGGGAGGCAGCAGUGGGGAAUAUUGGACAAUGGGCGAAAGCCUGAUCCAGCAAUGCCGCGUGAGUGAUGAAGGCCUUAGGGUUGUAAAGCUCUGUUACCCGGGAUGAUAAUGACAGUACCGGGAGAAUAAGCUCCGGCUAACUCCGU
rnacentral:rRNA from 1 species